GGACCGAUGGUGUAGUGGUAACACAUUGCGUCAGGACGUGAUGAGGAGUGGUUCGAUCCCCUCUUGAUCCA
rnacentral:tRNA from 1 species